CCUACGGGAGGCAGCAGUGGGGAAUAUUGCACAAUGGGCGCAAGCCUGAUGCAGCCAUGCCGCGUGUAUGAAGAAGGCCUUCGGGUUGUAAAGUACUUUCAGCGAGGAGGAAGGCAUUAAGGUUAAUAACCUUGGUGAUUGACGUUACUCGCAGAAGAAGCACCGGCUAACUCCGUGCCAGCAGCCGCGGUAAUACGGAGGGUGCGAGCGUUAAUCGGAGUUACUGGGCGUAAAGCGCACGCAGGCGGUCUGUCAAGUCGGAUGUGAAAUCCCCGGGCUCAACCUGGGAACUGCAUUCGAAACUGGCAGGCUAGAGUCUUGUAGAGGGGGGUAGAAUUCCAGGUGUAGCGGUGAAAUGCGUAGAGAUCUGGAGGAAUACCGGUGGCGAAGGCGGCCCCCUGGACAAAGACUGACGCUCAGGUGCGAAAGCGUGGGGAGCGAACAGGAUUAGAUACCCUGGUAGUCCACGCCGUAAACGAUGUCGACUUGGAGGUUGUGCCCUUGAGGCGUGGCUUCCGGAGCUAACGCGUUAAGUCGACCGCCUGGGGAGUACGGCCGCAAGGUUAAAACUCAAAUGAAUUGAAUUGACGG
rnacentral:rRNA from 1 species